CUACGGGGUGCAGCAGUGGGGAAUAUUGGACAAUGGGGGAAACCCUGAUCCAGCAAUGCCGCGUGUGUGAAGAAGGCCUGCGGGUUGUAAAGCACUUUCGGUUGGGAGGACUGCUUCUAGCACUAAUAUUGUUGGAAGUUGACGUUACCUUCAGAAGAGGCACCGGCUAACUCCGUGCCAGCAGCCGCGGUAAUACGGAGGGUGCAAGCGUGAAUCGGAAUUACUGGGCGUAAAGCGCGCGUAGGCGGCUAGAUCAGUCGGGUGUGAAAGCCCCGGGCUUAACCUGGGAACUGCAUCCGAUACUGUCUAGCUUGAGUACAGGAGAGGAGAGUGGAAUUCCACAUGUAGCGGUGAAAUGCGUAGAUAUGUGGAGGAACACCAAUGGCGAAGGCAGCUCUCUGGCCUGAUACUGACGCUGAGGUGCGAAAGCGUGGGGAGCAAACAGGAUUAGAUACCCGGGUAGUC
rnacentral:rRNA from 1 species